AUUACUCUGGUCGUGUGUUGCUGAAGAAGUAUGUCCUCUGGUCUUGCAGAGAGUGGGAGCUCUGUUAAUUGUCAAAUGUUGGGUGGGUAAUGAUCAAUGGAUGCCUAAUUGGAAGCAACAGGGAAUAAAAUAGGUAUUACUUAGCUCCUGCUCUUAAUUAAGGGGAUACAGAAUGCCGUGGGGAAAAUCUUAACAAAUGGCAGGAGGGUUUUUGUCAUUAUGCAAGGUUUAAUUAGAAGCAGUGCAUAAGCUGAUGUGGAGGUACUUUUUUCUCCCCUUUCAGGUGUCUCUCCAGGGCGUGACUAAAAGAUGCCAAAGCAAAAGCCUAAAAAAAAGUGGAAAAUAUUUGUGCAGGCACAUGCACACCGCUACACAGCAGGGAAUGGAAGGAAACCCCUUCGCAGCGCAACAGCAGCGAGGAUCUGGCCAAUUGAGGUUGCAGUGCACCUUACACCAAGACUUCUAAGAAAGUACCUGAAGCGCAAGUGAGAGGAAGUACUCCAUGUGAAAAAAGAAGGGUGAGAGGAAACUUCAUCACUCUUCCACAACUAUGCAAAAGGAAGUGAAAGCAAGGUGGGAGUCAGUGUCUUUUCUCAGGUGACAAAUUAUAGGAUGUGGGAAACAACCUCCAGUUGCACCAGAGGAGGUUUACAUUGGAUAUUGGGAACAAUUUCUGCACAGAAGGGGUGGUUAGGCAUUGGAACGGGUUGCCCAGGGAAGUGGUGGGGUCACCAUCCCUGGAGGUAUUUAAGAGACAUGAGGAUGUGGUGCUGAGGGAUAUGGUGACUGGACUUGAUCUGAAAGGUGUUUUCCAACCAAAAUGAUUCUUUGAUUGCAGAUACCUGCUGGUUUGGGGGGGUUGGUAAGUUAAAGAAGGAGCAGAGCUGGUCCUUUGGUUGCUGCUGCUGGCACUGUGAGAUCUGUAGGCCUGAUUUCUGCACAGAGAAGUACACACGUGAGGGCCAGAUUUCAUAGCCUAUCCCCCAGGCAUCACAUCCAGAGAAACGAGGCUGCUCUUGCUCCCUUCUUUGGACCACAAAUACCACUUCAAAUAAAGAUACGUACAUGGCAGUUUCCAUG
ensembl:lncRNA